rnacentral:rRNA from 1 species
CACGGGGGGAGCAAGCGUUGUUCGGAAUCACUGGGCGUAAAGGGCGUGUAGGCGGUCAGGUAAGUGGGAUGUGAAAGCCCCCGGCUCACCCGGGGAUCUGCACCCCAAACUGCCUGGCUUGAGUACGGGAGAGGAUAGGGGAAUUCCUGGUGUAGCGGUGAAAUGCGUAGAUAUCAGGAGGAACACCGGUGGCGAAGGCGCCUAUCUGGCCCGAUACUGACGCUGAGGCGCGAAAGCUAGGGGAG